rnacentral:rRNA from 1 species
GAUGAACGCUGGCGGCGUGCCUAAUACAUGCCAGUCGAGCGAACAGACGAGGAGCUUGCUCCUCUGACGUUAGCGGCGGACGGGUGAGUAACACGUGGAUAACCUACCUAUAAGACUGGGAUAACUUCGGGAAACCGGCGCUAAUCCCGGAUAACCUGUUGAACCGUAUGGUUCAACAGUGAAAGACGGUCUUUCUGUCACUUAUCGAUGGAUCCGCGCCGCAUUUGCUAGUUGGUAAGUUAACGGCUUACCAAGGCAACGAUGCGUAGCCGACGUGAGGGGGGGAUCGGCCACACUGGAACUGAGACACGGUCCAUGCUCCUACGGGAGGCAGCAGUAGGGAAUCGUCCGCAAUGGGCGAAAGCCUGACGGAGCAACGCCGCGUGAGUGAAGAAGGUCUUCGGAUCGGAAAACUCUGUUAUUAGGGAAGAACAAAUGUGUAAGUAACUAUGCACGUCUUGACGGUACCUAAUCAGAAAGCCACGGCUAACUACGUG